CUCUGGAGGCAGCGGUUUAUCGAUCUCUUCUUGAAUUUUGUUAACACAAACCAUGAAUCGAUCGAUAAACCUCUGCAUCCAGC
rfam:Lupinus angustifolius cultivar Tanjil chromosome LG01, whole genome shotgun sequence.